rnacentral:rRNA from 1 species
AGCAGCCGCGGUAAUUCCAGCUCCAAUAGCGUAUAUUAAAGUUGUUGCAGUUAAAAAGCUCGUAGUUGAAUUUCGGGAUCAAUUAAUUGGUCGUGCCUCUGGUACGUACUGAUUUUAUUGGUUUCUCCCUUCUGACGAACCAUGAUGUCAUUAAUUUGGUGUCGUGGAGAAUCAGGACUGUUACUUUGAAAAAUUAGAGUGUUUAAAGCAAGCUAACGCUUGAAUACAUUAGCAUGGAAUAAUGAAAUAGGACGUUUGAUCCUAUUUUGUUGGUUUCUAGGAUCGACGUAAUGAUUAAUAGGGAUAGUUGGGGGCAUUAGUAUUCAAUUGUCAGAGGUGAAAUUCUUGGAUUUAUUGAAGACUAACUACUGCGAAAGCAUUUGCCAAGGAUGUUUUCAUUAAUCAAGAACGAAAGUUAGGGGAUCGAAGACGAUCAGACACCGUCGUAGUCUUAACCAUAAACUAUGCCGACUAGGGAUCGGAUGAUGUUAAUUUUUUAAUGACUCA